rnacentral:rRNA from 1 species
GUCUAUGGCCAUGCCACCAUGAACAAGUCUGAUCCCGUCUGAUCUUGGAACCUAAGCAAGGUCAGGCCUGGUUAGUACUUGGAUGGGAGACCACCUAGGAAGACCAGGUGCUAUAGGCG